rnacentral:lncRNA from 1 species
CAACGCCCAUAAAAAGCACAGACCCAUAAUAUAAAUGUUGGCGUCCCAGGAAGCAUACAUGGAGGGGUCUCUAGUGACUCAGAGCAUGUGUUCUGUUCUGCCUGCAGGGGGCGCCAUGACUCACCCCCCCCCCCCAACCGUUGCCACGAAGGAUCCCAGAGUCAGUGUGGUUGAGCCUUCCAAUCUCCUCAAAAAAGUCAUAAAUCUGGAAUUUUACGUAAGAUUUCCCGAUUUGUAAGACAGUAUGGGAGCCAAAGAGCAUAUGCCUGUGGGUAAUUUUCCCCUGGAUUACCACCUGCAACAACGCUGUCUCCCAGGACCCAGGUCCUGGAGCUCCGAUGAGCUCAUCCGCACAGCCCAUAACAGGAGAGCAGACGGCACAGCAGCAUCUGCUCAGGCAAUUGAGACACAGCUUUGGGAACAUCGUAUGACGCCUUUUAUCUCAACUCUGGGUGAGGUGAGCUUCAAGGACAACUAUUUGUGAGCAACACCAUCACAGAAUGACAAUGGAAGUUCAACAUGGCACAGUGCAUCUGCAGGGCUCAGAACAAUGCCUGGAAUGUUUGUAGGUGAGCUGUAGUUAUUUGUGGUAUGAAUGGUCCCUGCCCUCCAGAAGCUUACCCUCCACUGGGGAGACAAACAUUGAGCAAUUGAUGAUACACGAUCCAUUACAUUGUUGAUAAGUGUUGUGAAG